AUCAAACAUGAUGCGUGGAUUCAUUCAUGUUGGAAAAAAAUCCGAUUCAAAAAUGAUUUUCUUAUACCGUGGAAAAAUAAAAAUUUUGAAAAUCGAAUUGAUUUGUAAUAUUUAUUGUAAACCCCAAAUUUUGUGCGGCCCAAUAAUAAUAAAUAAGACCCAAAAAAAUAAUAAAUAGGUCCAAUUAUCAAAGUCCAUUUAUAAUAAGUACAAGCCUAGAUUACAAACAAAAACCCUAGCCCAACAGGCCCACAAAACUUAGCAAGUUUUCAGCCAAAAAGAAACCCUAGGCGCCACACCUAGAUGCAGCCCGCAUGCCACCACUGCAGCACUGUUCCCCACUCGCCUAUCGCUGGCCAUCCAUGCAUCUGACACCUGCAAGAAGAAAUGAACACGCAAUAGCCAACGCCAACAAGCAGUAGAAAAAAAAACAAAUGCAAAAAGACAAAAGAAAAUAAUAACAAACAGCCUUAGUUCGGUUAUAAAAGCCGAAAAAGAGACCAUUAUACCUUCUUUGGGGGGAAGAUUAAAUACAAAACAAAAGAGAAAAGAUUUGAACUUUUAUUUGAAGGUGAUAUUCAUUUUUUUUAUUUUUAAGAUCUAUUGUUUUUUUUAUUUUAUAUUAUCUAUGAAAAUAAAAAGAAAAAUAGAGAAACGUAUCUGAAUCGCCCCGUGGCUUCGUCGACGGAAGUCCCUUCGCCGUCGUCGAAAUCGGGCUUAAAAAGAGGUCUAAGGUUUUUUUCUUCGACCCCUCAAGUUGAGGAGGCCCAGCCUUCGAGUAUGCUGCGAAACAAGAGCUAAAAAGCCCAUUUUUCCCUUUAUCGGCCACUGACCAUAGCAGCGGCGCUGCGGCCGAUGGCCGGACGCACGGCCGAUCAAGGAGAGGGUUGAGAGAAAAGGGGAAAGCUUUGGUUUUUUUUAAAAUAAAAAAUAAAAUGGCUGAAUGAGUUUUUAAAAAAAUUGAUUUAAAUGAGGGCACUAAACGGUGCCAUUUUGAACCAAGGUUACCAGCACCCAAAACGACGUCACCUGACCCCUCGACCCACGCACGCGACCCGACUCGCUAGGGGAUUCGCGUGUUUUC
rnacentral:lncRNA from 1 species